GAAGCUUGGGAAAUCAAGCUUGAACACUUGAAUAUCAAUGGAGGAAAUGGGGACCAAGGGUGGCGGCACAAUGGAAAGAAAAGAAGAAGAUGGAGAGAAAAGGUUGGUGGGUUUUGUCAUCUUAUGGUAUAUAUAUAUUCUAUUUGUGUACUUUAAUUUUUUUAAUUUUUCAUAAGCCAUUUUUCUUUUCUUUUCCUUUCUUUU
rnacentral:misc_RNA from 1 species